UUCCUCACACAAAAAAAAUCUCUAUAAAAUGCCCAAGCACACACGUACCGUCGUAACCCAAUAAGCCGAUUCAAUUUCCAACCCAAAGCAUCGUGCAAACUUUCUCUCUCUAGAACUCUCUCGUUGUCUCUCUCAUCACAUACGAUUCCUCAUUUCCUCUCUGGCAUUUUUCUUCAGAUCUCAGACGCAUUGAAUUGAUCAGAAUCAUACAAUUUUGAUACAUCUGAUCUCAAUUUUGGCCGAUCGGGAUUCAAUUUUGUGUGUGAAUUUACAUGCAUAGAGAUAGAGAGAGAUAGAGAGAUUGAUUUUGAUUGAAGAAAGCAAAAUUGCUUUUUGAGAGAGACAGAGAGUGUGUGUGUGAGUUAGGUAUAGAAAAAUAGGCGCAUGAGCUGUUUGGUCAAUCUGGAGUUCUCUUCUUCGAAUUCAAACCACUUCAUAACGUGCCUUCUCGUUUUUAUUCUUCAUUACUCACCUCAAUUGCCUCCUCUUACCUUGUUUAAUUUUGAGAAACCCUUGGAACCUAGAGCGAACUUCUCAUUAAUAUCGUUAUUAUUGCUGUUGUUAAGUAAUUUUAAUCACAGUAAUCUCUUUAAUCAUUGCCGAUCGUCGUCUAAUCAUGGAGUCGCGAGAACAGAGUAAUCGCCAAUUAACCAAGGUUCCUUGCUAUUCAAAUGUUGAGAGGAGACAUGG